GAUGAACGCUGGCGGCGUGCAUAACACAUUCAAGUCGAACGGUGAUAGAGACUUCGGUCUCUUGAUCAGUGGCGGACGGGUGAGUAACGCGUGAGUAACCUGCCUAUCUGAGUGGAAUAACACAGGGAAACUUGUGCUAAUACCGCAUAAUGUCAGAGUGCCGCAUGACACACUGACCAAAGAUUUAUCGCUUGAAGAUGGACUCGCGUCUGAUUAGCUAGUUGGAGGGGUAACGGCCCACCAAGGCGACGAUCAGUAGCCGAACUGAGAGGUUGAUCGGCCACAUUGGGACUGAGACACGGCCCAGACUCCUACGGGAGGCAGCAGUGGGGAAUAUUGCGCAAUGGGGGAAACCCUGACCCAGCAACGCCGCGUGAAGGAAGAAGGCCUUCGGGUUGUAAACUUCUUUACCUAGGACGAAGAACGUAGACGGUACCU
rnacentral:rRNA from 1 species